UACGAAGGGUGCAAGCGUUACUCGGAAUUACUGGGCGUAAAGCGUGCGUAGGUGGUUUGUUAAGUCUGAUGUGAAAGCCCUGGGCUCAACCUGGGAACUGCAUUGGAAACUGGCUGACUAGAGUGCGGUAGAGGGGUGUGGAAUUCCCGGUGUAGCAGUGAAAUGCGUAGAUAUCGGGAGGAACAUCUGUGGCGAAGGCAGCUCUCUGGGACGGUACUGACGCUGAGACGCGAAAGCGUGGGGAGCGAACAGG
rnacentral:rRNA from 1 species